rnacentral:tRNA from 1 species
CAGAACAUGCCUGCCUAAAACAAUUUGCUAUCAUAAAUUAACGUCUGCUAACCCCGACUGUUCUGAG